ensembl:lncRNA
CAGAAACUCUUUAAUGAAGGUAGGGGCUGCCUGCAAAGCCGUGUUAAGUGCACGGGAACGGACUCACACUGACUCACUUCCACAAUGGGUGCUGUUGGCUGUGAUUUCAGCUCCUCAGGCUGUGUGGUGGCGCAUUUGGAUGUGUGGUGACGGCAGGGACAGAUUACGCAUGAGUACCUUCAGAAGAAACGGGCACCUUUAACAAAGAACAAAUACGAGGAAGUGGUAGUGUCGCGUGACGGAAGGAACUGAUGAUUUGGUGGGUGAUGGGGUGCCCUGAAAGGACAGGAAGCCUGAGCCGGGUCUUGAUGUCGGGGUGGAGCUUCGGGGGCUCAUGGAGCGCUGCUGAACGCCUGGUUUACUAGUGUGAUUUUGAGAGCGAACAGGUUUUCUUCUGAGUUUCCUGCUCACGGUUCGGGUGAAAGCUGUCUUUGUCCUGCGGAGGUGGAAACAUGGACACUGCUCUGGCCAAGAACAGCUCCCCAGAAUUUUCCGCUGGCAACAGGUUUGCUCGGUCCAUCAGCCUAAGGAAAUGAUGAAAUCGACCAAUUACUAAUAGGAAAUAUGUCAGAAGCUUUAAAAUUUCAUGAGAAACAUCAUGUUAAUGGGAAAGGUUUAAAGAAAAAAAUUCCCAUUGCUCGGCGACAAGCCAAAAAUAAUAAAAAAGUGCCUUACAUGUUCUCUAUACAACUAAACUCCAUUACCUGUGGGUAGUAACCCUAGGGGCACCAAAAGAAAUGACAUCUGGCAGUGGAUGUUUUCCAUUUCCCAGAAUUUGGAAAGCAAAGAUAUAUACACCAUGCAUACCAUUGACCCAUUCUCGGGGUUUCAAUGGGCAACUGCUUUAAGUUCUGAAAGGCUGACUGUGCAAUUACACACUUACUGGAAAUAAUGGCAGGGUUGGGGAUUUAGCUCAGUGGUAGAGCGCUGGCCCUGGGUUCGGUCCCCAGCUCUGAAAAAAAGAAAAAAAAAAAAAAAAGAAAUAAUGGCAAUUAUGGGUCAGCUGCACCAAUUAAAACUGAGAGUGCUCCCGCGUACGUAUCCGAUAAGAUGAAGCAGUUCUCUGCAACCGUAAGAUAAAGCACGAUACCACACAAUCCCACAGGACAAGCAGAAAGAGCCAAUCACACCUUAAAAGAGAUGCUGAGUAAACAAAAAGAGAGAAUGAAAACUGCCAGGGACAGACUAACACUCAACUUUCUUACUGUUGGCGAGAAGGGAGCUACAGCCGCUGAGAGACACUGCGUUAUCAAAAAACUGAGCAACCGG